rnacentral:rRNA from 1 species
AUGAACGCUGGCGGCGUGCCUAAUACAUGCAAGUCGAACGAGUUCUGAUUAUUGAAAGGUGCUUGCAUCUUGAUUUAAUUUUGAACGAGUGGCGGACGGGUGAGUAACACGUGGGUAACCUGCCCUUAAGUGGGGGAUAACAUUUUGAAACAGAUGCUAAUACCGCAUAAAUCCAAGAACCGCAUGGUUCUUGGCUGAAAGAUGGCGUAAGCUAUCGCUUUUGGAUGGACCCGCGGCGUAUUAGCUAGUUGGUGAGGUAACGGCUCACCAAGGCAAUGAUACGUAGCCGAACUGAGAGGUUGAUCGGCCACAUUGGGACUGAGACACGGCCCAAACUCCUACGGGAGGCAGCAGUAGGGAAUCUUCCACAAUGGACGCAAGUCUGAUGGAGCAACGCCGCGUGAGUGAAGAAGGCUUUCGGGUCGUAAAACUCUGUUGUUGGAGAAGAAUGGUCGGCAGAGUAACUGUUGUCGGCGUGACGGUAUCCAACCAGAAAGCCACGGCUAACUACGUGCCAGCAGCCGCGGUAAUACGUAGGUGGCAAGCGUUAUCCGGAUUUAUUGGGCGUAAAGCGAGCGCAGGCGGUUUUUUAAGUCUGAUGUGAAAGCCCUCGGCUUAACCGAGGAAGUGCAUCGGAAACUGGGAAACUUGAGUACAGAAGAGGACAGUGGAACUCCAUGUGUAGCGGUGAAAUGCGUAGAUAUAUGGAAGAACACCAGUGGCGAAGGCGGCUGUCUGGUCUGUAACUGACGCUGAGGCUCGAAAGCAUGGGUAGCGAACAGGAUUAGAUACCCUGGUAGUCCAUGCCGUAAACGAUGAAUGCUAGGUGUUGGAGGGUUUCCGCCCUUCAGUGCCGCAGCUAACGCAUUAAGCAUUCCGCCUGGGGAGUACGACCGCAAGGUUGAAACUCAAAGGAAUUGACGGGGGCCCGCACAAGCGGUGGAGCAUGUGGUUUAAUUCGAAGCAACGCGAAGAACCUUACCAGGUCUUGACAUCUUUUGAUCACCUGAGAGAUCAGGUUUCCCCUUCGGGGGCAAAAUGACAGGUGGUGCAUGGUUGUCGUCAGCUCGUGUCGUGAGAUGUUGGGUUAAGUCCCGCAACGAGCGCAACCCUUAUGACUAGUUGCCAGCAUUUAGUUGGGCACUCUAGUAAGACUGCCGGUGACAAACCGGAGGAAGGUGGGGAUGACGUCAAAUCAUCAUGCCCCUUAUGACCUGGGCUACACAUGUGCUACAAUGGAUGGUACAACGAGUUGCGAGACCGCGAGGUCAAGCUAAUCUCUUAAAGCCAUUCUCAGUUCGGACUGUAGGCUGCAACUCGCCUACACGAAGUCGGAAUCGCUAGUAAUCGCGGAUCAGCACGCCGCGGUGAAUACGUUCCCGGGCCUUGUACACACCGCCCGUCACACCAUGAGAGUUUGUAACACCCGAAGCCGGUGGCGUAACCCUUUUAGGGAGCGAGCCGUCUAAGGUGGGACAAAUGAUUAGGGUG